GAUCAUGGCUCAGGAUGAACGCUAGCUACAGGCUUAACACAUGCAAGUCGAGGGGCAGCAUUUUAGUUUGCUUGCAAACUGAAGAUGGCGACCGGCGCACGGGUGAGUAACACGUAUCCAACCUGCCGAUAACUCCGGGAUAGCCUUUCGAAAGAAAGAUUAAUACCGGAUAGCAUACGAAUAUCGCAUGAUAUUUUUAUUAAAGAAUUUCGGUUAUCGAUGGGGAUGCGUUCCAUUUAG
rnacentral:rRNA from 1 species